UACGUAGGUGGCAAGCGUUAUCCGGAAUUAUUGGGCGUAAAGAGCGCGCGGGUGGUUGAUUAAGUCUGAUGUGAAAGCCCACGGCUUAACCGUGGAGGGUCAUUGGAAACUGGGUCACUUGAAUAUAGAAGAGGAAAGUGGAAUUCCAUGUGUAGCGGUGAAAUGCGUAGAUAUAUGGAGGAACACCAGUGGCAAAGGCGACUUUCUGGUCUAUUAUUGACGCUGAGGCUCGAAAGCAUGGGUAGCAAACAGGAUUAGAUACCCGUGUA
rnacentral:rRNA from 1 species